GACGAACGCUGGCGGCGUGCUUAACACGUGCAAGUCGAACGCUGAAGCUUGGUGCUUGCACUGGGUGGAUGAGUGGCGAACGGGUGAGUAAUACGUGAGUAACCUGCCCUUGACUCUGGGAUAAGCCUGGGAAACUGGGUCUAAUACUGGAUACGACAUGCCACUGCAUGGUGGUGUGUGGAAAGGGUUUUACUGGUUUUGGAUGGGCUCACGGCCUAUCAGCUUGUUGGUGGGGUAAUGGCCUACCAAGGCGACGACGGGUAGCCGGCCUGAGAGGGUGACCGGCCACACUGGGACUGAGACACGGCCCAGACUCCUACGGGAGGCAGCAGUGGGGAAUAUUGCACAAUGGGCGGAAGCCUGAUGCAGCGACGCCGCGUGAGGGAUGACGGCCUUCGGGUUGUAAACCUCUUUCAGCACGGAAGAAGCGAGAGUGACGGUACGUGCAGAAGAAGCGCCGGCUAACUACGUG
rnacentral:rRNA from 1 species